UGUUUCAAGCUGGCUCCCACUAUGUCCGCACAAUGUUGGGUUUAACCCACGGCCAGUCACCCAUGGAGGCCAUUCCUCCAAUCCCGGAUUUUAGACACUUGAGCCCAGAGCUGAAACGCUAGAGCCAUCUGCCAUGGAGCCCAUCCCUCCAAGCUCGGAUCUUAAACCCUAGAGCUAUCUGCGAUUGGCAUUGCACUUCUCGCAGUCGUCUGAGAGAAAAAUACACGGUAAAGCUUUCCAACCCGGCCCUCGCAGAGACCACGGCAAUGGCGCUCGUCGCUUCCUCGAGCCGCCCCCGCUCCCUCCUCCUCCGCCACCACCUUCGCCUCCUCUCCUCCUCCCCAUCUUCACCUCCGACCGCCCCCUCCGCCGCGGCGGCUCCCCUCUUCUCCGGUUACCACGCGUUCGACCCCGCUAUCCGCCGCCUGGCCCGUGCUCGCCGCUUCUCCGACAUCGAGGCCCUCCUCGAGGUCCUCAAGAAGGACCCGCGUGCCUCCAACGAGCUCUUCCUCGCUUCCGUCAUUACUUCCUACGCCGCCGCCGGCAUGCUCGACCACGCCCUCCGCACCCUCGACGAGGUUCCCUCCCUCGGCGCUCCCCGCACUGCUCUCUCCCUCAACGCCCUCCUCUCCGCCCUCAACCACUCCAAACUCCCUGCCUCCCGCCGCCGCGUCCCCGACCUCUUCGCCGACCUCACCCGCCGCCUCCCCAUCGCCCCGGACAAGGUCUCCUACGGCAUCCUCGUCAAGUCCCACUGCCUCGCGGGCGACGCUAAGAAGGCCCUCUCCGUCCUCAAGGAGAUGGAGGAGAAAAAAAUAGCGGUCACCACCGUCACCUACACCACCCUUCUGGAUUCCUUCUAUAAAGAGGGCAGGCCCGAGGAGGCCGAGAGAUUGUGGAAGGAGAUGGAGAAGAAGGGCUGCAAGCCCGAUUUGCCGGCUUAUAAUGUCCGGGUGAUGUACCGAGCCCGCGAUGGGAAGCCACAAGACGUGCUUGAUUUGAUCAGAGAGAUCGAGGCAGCAGGAUUGAAGCCCGACACUAUUACUUACAACUAUCUUAUGAGCUGUUAUUGUAGUCAUGGCCGCUUUGAGGAGGCAAAGAAUGUGUACAAGGGUUUGAAGGAGAAGGGACGUGUUCCACAUACUGCGACUUUCAGGAAUUUGUUGGCUUCUUUAUGUAAAAUUGAGGAUUUUGAUGGGGGUUUGGAGGUGUUCAUGGAUAGUGUGAAGCUGCAUAAGGUGCCAGAUCUAGGGACGGUAAAGCUUCUGGUGGAGGGAUUGAUGAAGAAAUCGAAGGUCAGAGCUGCAAAGAGGGUGGUUAGUGGGCUGAAGAAGAAAUUUCCGGCAGAUUUCACAGGGGAUUGGAGGAAGCUUGAGAAGGUAGUUGGUGUGGAUGUGGAUGGAGAUGGAGCUGAGCAAGCAGGAGUGGCUUAAGUAUGUUCUUCCAAGUGGUUUGGAUGGCAUAUGUGAGGAUUAAGGUCUCUCUUGUUAAAUCAAUCAUUUACAAGCAAAUAGAUGCCCAGAUUUCAUAUGAAUUGUUGUCCCCCUUAUGCAAGCAGGGCUUGAAGGAGUUGUUCUUGUGAUAGGUUCUUCCUUGGAAGCCAUCUAAUAAAUGCUCGUACCAUCCCAGCCAUCUCGUUCCUGUGGAUAAAUUGGAAAUGUGCGGUUUUCUCUUGGAACUUUUGCUUGUGUCUAAUUUACCAAAGUGGGAUGUGGUCUGUUCACCAUCAGUAGGCUCCUAGAUAUGUGCAGCUCAAAAUAGAAAUGCAUUAUUCUGCGAGAUGAUAAACCCUGAUUCAAUUUUGAAUUGUAGUCAGUGCUUGACUGUAAUAUCUAGGAUAACUCUUUUUUUCGACUUUUUAUUUUCAAUGACCAGCCUGGUUAAUACUUAACAAUGCUUGAUGUGUCUCCCCUUUUCAUUGGAAAAUAUAACAUAUGCUUUACUUGCUUCUGAA